rnacentral:lncRNA from 1 species
CAUUUAGUCAUGCCGGCCACAUGGCUACGGAGACGUCUUCGGACAGCGCUGGCUCUUCGGCUUUGUAACGGAGAUGAUCACCGCCCCCUAGACCCAGAAACGAUUAGCACAUAUGUGCAAGGGGAACCUUUAUCUUUACCCUCUCUGAAUGUUAAACUGUCUGGGAAUCUUCUCUCCCUCCCCACUUCUGUUUUCAGUACCAUCAAUAGAGACUAACGCCAAUGGAAAGCAUUGCCCUGCCUGCUUUUCUGAAACAGGUACAUGCAAGGAAGAAUUUACGAACUGUACCGGGGAUGAAAAUUACUGCUUCCAUCUCUUUAUGCGUUCCUAUGGAGAUGGGGUGCUCUGGGACACAAUCAUGGAAGGCUGCACCACCAAGUCAACAUGCCGUUACAUCAGUGACGGGGACUUGUUCAUCCUUCAACGUCGCAACACAGUGAUUAUAACAGCCUCAUGUUUGGUGGCGGCUUCGAAGAGGCUUUACUCUUGCCAAUUCCACCCCCUGUAUUUUGCUGGGUUCCUUUUUUUCCUCGGGACCUUUCUCUAAAAGUCAUUUGUUAUGGGGCUGCAUCAGCUCUGCCAUUGAAGCAGUUAUUAUCUAUUUAGGUUUCCUUUUCGCCCUUGUAGUGUCUCCCGAGGCAAUGAACUCCCCUCUUGGCAUUGGGUCUCUGUUUUCUUCUGUAAAAAAAAUAAAUGACAUGUUUAAGCAAAC